rnacentral:rRNA from 1 species
GACGAACGCUGGCGGCGUGCUUAACACAUGCAAGUCGAGCGGAAAGGCCCUGCUUUUGUGGGGUGCUCGAGUGGCGAACGGGUGAGUAACACGUGAGUAACCUGCCCUUGACUUUGGGAUAACUUCAGGAAACUGGGGCUAAUACCGGAUAGGAGCUCCUGCUGCAUGGUGGGGGUUGGAAAGUUUCGGCGGUUGGGGAUGGACUCGCGGCUUGUCAGCUUGUUGGUGGGGUAGUGGCUUACCAAGGCUUUGACGGGUAGCCGGCCUGAGAGGGUGACCGGCCACAUUGGGACUGAGAUACGGCCCAGACUCCUACGGGAGGCAGCAGUGGGGAAUAUUGCACAAUGGGCGGAAGCCUGAUGCAGCAACGCCGCGUGCGGGAUGACGGCCUUCGGGUUGUAAACCGCUUUCGCCUGUGACGAAGCGUGAGUGACGGUAAUGGGUAAAGAAGCACCGGCUAACUACGUG